rnacentral:rRNA from 1 species
UCGGAUUAGCUUAGUUGGUGAGGUAAUGGCUCACCAAGGCGACGAUCCGUAACUGGUCUGAGAGGAUGAUCAGUCACACUGGAACUGAGACACGGUCCAGACUCCUACGGGAGGCAGCAGUGGGGAAUAUUGGACAAUGGGCGAAAGCCUGAUCCAGCCAUGCCGCGUGUGUGAAGAAGGUCUUCGGAUUGUAAAGCACUUUAAGUUGGGAGGAAGGGCAGUUACCUAAUACGUGAUUGUUUUGACGUUACCGACAGAAUAAGCACCGGCUAACUCUGUGCCAGCAGCCGCGGUAAUACAGAGGGUGCAAGCGUUAAUCGGAAUUACUGGGCGUAAAGCGCGCGUAGGUGGUUUGUUAAGUUGGAUGUGAAAUCCCCGGGCUCAACCUGGGAACUGCAUUCAAAACUGACUGACUAGAGUAUGGUAGAGGGUGGUGGAAUUUCCUGUGUAGCGGUGAAAUGCGUAGA